CUUUAUCACUAUUUUCCCAUGUCACUAUGAAGCUAUUGUUUGUGUUUUUGUUAUUUUCCAGUGUUCACCUCCAUGGUUGUUCAUAGUUUAGUGCUGCUCAAUUGAAGGGGGUCUAACAUGGUACAUUAGUGAUGAAGAAAGCUCUGUAUGUUGCAUUCCAACAUGUUGUUAGCAAUUGUCAACAAUCAUAGCCUGUUAUUGCACGAUCACUGUGAAACUUGAGAUGAAAUUAUCAAUGUUCUUCAACAUUGAAGUGGUUUCUUUCAUUGUUAUAGUGACCGUGAAUUCAUUUCUAUUAACCGUGGUUUAUUCGUAUGGUAGAAUGGGCGGAAAGAAUAGAGGAAUGUGUUAUAGUUGUAGAGAUAGAGGCCAUUUAUUUUAUGAAAGCCCAAGGAAGUGCAGAUGCCCGGCAUGCAAGAAUGGAUUUGAGAAGUGUUUCGUGGUGGAGAAGCAAACAGCAAAUAAAGGGAGAUUAUUUCUCUGUUGCAGUAAGCAAUGCGGAUUUUGGGAUUGGGUUGUCAAAGAAAAAUCACCCGGUGAAUCGUCUAGCAACAAUUCUUCAUUAGUAAACCUUGCGACGAACGAAAAUGAUGAAGAAAUGUCCAAAAUGUUUGAAUCUCGAGUUCACCUAACCGAUGAUGAAGACCUACAUAUUUUGGUGAACGUGCAAAUAUGUAAGGCGAAUUCUAGUGCGGAAGUGAAUGCAAAAGGGAAGCGAUCAACUUGAUUAUUAGAUAAAAAUUUGCUCUCGGCUUUUGACAUAACUUUUGUAUGUGUAGCACUAUCUCGUGUUAGCUCUCAUUGUCUUCAUGUAGUAAUUCCAAUUACUCUUGUUCAAGUAUUAUGUACCGAUUGAGAUGGAUUAGGAAUGUGUAAUAUUUUGAAUUGAAGUAUUGCCACUACUGUAUUUGGAACUACGUUCUCUUGUAUGAAUGAAAUUAUAUAGCUA
rnacentral:lncRNA from 1 species